AUUGAACGCUGGCGGCAGGCCUAACACAUGCAAGUCGAACGGUAACAGGAAGAAGCUUGCUUCUUUGCUGACGAGUGGCGGACGGGUGAGUAAUGUCUGGGAAACUGCCUGAUGGAGGGGGAUAACUACUGGAAACGGUAGCUAAUACCGCAUAACGUCGCAAGACCAAAAAGGGGGACCUUCGGGCCUCUUGCCAUCGGAUGUGCCCAGAUGGGGUUAGCUAGUAGGUGGGGUAACGGCUCACCUAGGCGACGAUCCCUAGCUGGUCUGAGAGGAUGACCAGCCACACUGGAACUGAGACACGGCCCAGACUCCUACGGGAGGCAGCAGUGGGGAAUAUUGCACAAUGGGCGCAAGCCUGAUGCAGCCAUGCCGCGUGUAUGAAGAAGGCCUUCGGGUUGUAAAGUACUUUCAGCGGGGAGGAAGGGAGUAAAGUUAAUACCUUUGCUCAUUGACGUUACCCGCAGAAGAAGCACCGGCUAACUCCGUG
rnacentral:rRNA from 1 species